GAUGAACGCUGGCGGCGUGCUUAACACAUGCAAGUCGAACGGAAAGGCCCAAGCUUGCUUGGGUACUCGAGUGGCGAACGGGUGAGUAACACGUGGGUGAUCUGCCCUGCACUUCGGGAUAAGCCUGGGAAACUGGGUCUAAUACCGGAUAGGACCACUUCUUGGAUGUUGUGGUGGAAAGCUUUUUCGGUGUGGGGUGAGCUCGCGGCCUAUCAGCUUGUUGGGGGGGUAAUGGCCUACCAAGGCGUCGCCGGGUAGCCGGCCUGAGAGGGUGUACGGCCACAUUGGGACUGAGAGACGGCCCAGACGCCUACGGGAGGCAGCAGUGGGGAAGAUUGCACAAUGGGCGCAAGCCUGAUGCAGCGAGGCCGCGUGGGGGAUGACGGCCUUCGGGUUGAAAACUCCUUUCGCUAGGGACGAAGCGUUUUGUGACGGUACCUGGAGAAGAAGCACCGGCUAACUACGUG
rnacentral:rRNA from 1 species